AAAGUAAAAAUUUUGAUUUUAGAUUUAUAAAUUAAUUAAGUUUUAAAUAUAUAUAUAAGAUUUAUUUAUAGUAUAAUUUAUUUUAAUAAUAAAUAUAUAAAUUGAAGUAAUUUAAUAUAUAAUACUUUUAUUAAAAUGGAAGUUUUUAAUGGUAAAUAAUUUUAUUAAAUUUUAAUUUGGUGCCAGCAAUAGCGGUUAGACUAAAUUUAAGAAUUAAUUUUUUAAAAUAAUAAUUUUUUAAUUAAAAUAUUAAUUAAAUUAAAUUUUAUAUUGGUGAAAUAAAUAAUUUUAUAAAAAUUAAUUAUUAAAUAAUAAAAAUUAUAAAGAUUAAAAAUAAAACUAGGAUUAGAUACCCUAUUAUAUUAAUUUAAUUAAAAAUUUAAUUAUUAAAUGUAAAACAUUAAAAUUAAAAAAUAUGGCAGUUAUAUAAAGUUUUAGGGGAACUUGUAUAUUAAUUUGAUAAUCCACGAUAUAAAAUACUAAUAAUAUAUAUAUAUUAUUUUUGUAUUGUUGUUUAAAGAUUUUGUAUAAAUAUUAAUAAUUAAAAUUUUAUAUAUAAUGUAUAAUGUAUAUAUAUAAAUAAUUCAAAUCAAAAUAAAGUAUUUAUUAGAUAAUAUGAGUUACAUUAAUAAAAAAUUUUUUUGAAUUAAUAAAUUUUAAUGUUUUUAAUAAAUAGGAUUUAAAAGUAAAUUUAAUUAUAAAUAUAUUAAUUUGAAUAUUUUUUAUAUAAUGUACAAAUUGCCCGUCAAUUUCAAUAAAAUUUGAAAUAAGUCGUAACAAAGUGAGAGUAUUGGAAAAUGUUCUUAGA
rnacentral:rRNA from 1 species